rnacentral:lncRNA from 1 species
AAUAUAUAUAUAUAUAUAUAUAUAUAUAUAUAUAGAGAGAGAGAGAGAGAGAGAGAGAGAGAGAGAGAGAGAGAGAGAGAGAGAGAACUAGGUUACUAUACUAUCGGUAGCACGGAGCGCUACGUACUACCAAGUUAUUUUCGAUGAUGCGGCUUCCAAAUCGACGAUCGGCUCCGUUAGACUUGAUCUACACUAUUGAAAGUAUUUAGAAACUAAAUUUCAUAAUUUUUCGAUAUCAUUUACCUAUCAAACAAGUAGUCUAAAAUUGAACGGCUGAAAAUAAAAAUCUCAUGAAAAAUAAUGAUAAAAGAUUUAAAUUCAAGAUCAGAUAUACUGAACUUACUCUAAAUAGUGAAAAAAAAUUUCUAUAAAAUUUUCAUCGCAUUUUGAUUAUUUUACACCGUUAAACUCACAAACACAUCACAUCGGCCAUUAAAAUUGUCAAUUUUGAGAUCUUUUGAUCACUAGUCAAAUGAUGUCGAAAGAAUCUGAAAUUUAGUUUCCAAAUACUUUCAAUAGUGUAGAUCAAGUCUAACGGAGCCGAUCGUCGAUUUGGAAACCGCAUCAUCGAAAACAACUUGGUAGCACAGAGCGCUCCGUGCUACCGAUAGCAUAGUAGCCGGACUAUAUAUAUAUAUAUAUAUAUAUAUAUAUAUAUAUAUUCUACUAAUUGCUGAUAGAGAAAUAUUUGGUGCAGUUGUCCCCACAAAUCAAAAACUCUCAAACAAAUUACAGAUUCAGUAACAUGAACAUGAAACUAAACAUGAAAAAUAAAUAAAUAUGAAUAAAACUGCAGAUAUUCAUCGCUGUGAGUUGAGUUCCUCGGUAAUGUGCAGAAAGUUUUUACCCACUAAAAUAAUAAAAAAGUUCUCUCUUUUAUCCCCGGUGUUCAAAAAAUUUGCACCUUUCUACCAAUGCGAUUAUUUGAUCAUUUCAGGGUUGCAUAGUUAGAUGUAAUUAUCAAUACAGUAUAGUUCGAGAUUUAUACAGUCAAAAAUACAACAAUUAUAAUUAUAUAGAUUUUAUUUGGCUGGAUGUAAUAGAAAAUGCGAUAACUAUAACGCGGUUGACAAGUACAAUUAUAAAAUUUUAUACUUUAUAUAUGGAACGGAGAGAUUAUUUUUUAUAUAGAAAGAAAAUUAUUUUCUAUUGGAAAGAUUCUACAGAGGUAAGCUUCUUUUAUUUAAUGUUACUUUUAUUACUGCAGCUGGAACUGUAGUCAAUUUUAGCAUAAUUUUAAUUACUGUAUUUGAAUCUCCUCGUACAGUUUCAACAACAAAAAAUGAAGUUAAAUGCAUAAAAUCAGAUAGUAAAUUUAAUUUGCAUACAGUUAUAAUUAGUUUACAAUUGUAACUACAUGUAAUCAAAUAAUCUCCUAGUGCGCACUAAAUUUGUGCAUAUCACAUUACCCAUUGAGUUCGAUAAUAAAACUUAUUUAUUUAUUUAUUUACUUAUUAUUGGAAAAACAGGAUUGGUCAAGAACACAGUGCCCAAUAAGAAGAAGACACGUACGCAGGUCGUACGAGAAAUGUACAACCGUUAAUGCAAAGGAUCCUCUGCCACGAUGGCCGGUGUGGGCUGGUGGGGGCAAUUAAUGAGAGCGUCAGGGGCAUUUAAGGCAGUGGAGAUGUGUCACUUGCAGAGGGGCAUUUUCGGAAGAAAAUUUACUCCUAUUUUUAGAACAGAUUCUCAGUUGUUGGUUCGCGUUGACCCUUUCGCUGUCCCGGGCGGGAAUGGAAUUACGCUUCCAGCGGGGAUUCAUUAAAGCCCCGAGUUCUUGUGGAAACUUCGAAAUUGCCCCUCCCCUUCUUCUUCUCCUAUGAUCUAUAAUUCUUUUUAUUUUAUUUUUAUUUUUUUGCCUGAAUAUUACUAAGACACUGCGUACCAAGAAUUAAAGUAUCCAUAGACAUAGACAGUAUCCAUCGUGUCGUAUCGUGCCAGCAAAAUAUCGAUACGAUAUACUUUUUGUGCUGAUAGUACAACUCAAAAUUAUCUAUUUUUAAAAUUAAUAAGACUUAUUUUGGUAUUGAAGUCUAUCUAACGCGAGUUGAGAAAAAAUAUAUAGGGAUAUAUUUCUGCGUUCUACGAUGGAACCGCAGAAAAUAUAUCAUAACCGACUAACCGCAAUAAAUAGAAUGCAAUAUUACGUACAAAAAUAAAUAAGGUAUUUUUCCGUCGUCGUUUCUCAUCGCAGGUAACGUAAUUUUUCUGUAAUCCCAAAUAAAGCCUAAGUAAUUUUCACAAUAAAGUUCAAAAAAAUUGAUAAAAAUAUAUAAUAAAUAAUUUACAUAUUUUGCAUCUAAGAAAAAUAAAUAUUUAAUGUCAUUACGUGUCGGCACACAUAUAUUUUUUAUAUGACCGACACGCAUCGGUACGGUCCGACACGUACCAUGCCAUACUAUGCCGACAAGUUUUCGGCACGAUUCCGUGUCACAACACUUAAAUUCUUAUUGUGUACGAAACCGAAAACUCUAUAUAGAGAUUUAUGUUAUUAUAUUAAAUUUUUUAACAUGAUAAAUUCUUUAUAUGAUAUAGUGGUGGAACAGAGUACUACUAUGAAAAGUUUAUUGUAUAUAUUUUGAACUAAAAUUGUAACUCGAAUAGCUAGAAAUUUUUUUUUUCUUCGUAAUAGUACUAAAUUGAAAGCUCUUAUGAAAUUUUUAACUUCUAGAAUAUAAAAUAAAACUUUUAAUCAUCAUAUUACUCUUUAAUUCAAAGCAUGGAGUGCUACUGGAGUAUAUGUAAUAGGUAAAAACGUACUAAAUUUAUAAACGCUGUCGACGAUAUUGAUUUGAUUAUUUAAUUUUUUAAAAUUUUAAUUUUACUAUCUAACAUUUCAAUUUAUUUGAUUUGAAUUAUUUAACGGCAUAUUAACUUUAAUAUUUAAAUGUAUUAUUUAUUUUACAGGUGUAGCUAGUAUAUAUUUAUAUGAUUAUUGUAAAUAUAAAUUUGUUAAAGUAAGUAAUUAAUCUAAAUUUGGAUGUCAACAUAACAUUGGCUGAACUCAAAUCAAAAAAAUAGAACGGACUGAUAGUAAAAGCAAAAUUUUAAAAGCCUGGGUAACCAAAUUAAAAUAGUUUAUUAUUCAGAUAAGUUAUUUAUAUUUUUACCUAUAAAAUAUAAAAAAAAAGCUAGAACACUUUGCUUUCGAAAGUAUAAAAGUUUUCGUACUUUCAAAUUAUUUUUGAUGAUGAGACUUUCAAUUCAGCGAUUGGUCGUGUCAGACAUAAUCUAUAAUAUUGAAACUAUUUAGAAACCAGAUUUUAUAAUUUUUUUUUAUUUCGUUUUCUUACUGAACGAGUAACCUCAAAAUAAACAGGUGAAAAUAAAAAUCUUAAAAAAUAAUAAUAAAAUUCAAAAUAAAUUAUAUCUCUUUACACUAAUUAUAUCUCUUUACAAUAUUUCAAAAUAUAUUACAUUAAAUUUAAAUUUUUAAAGCAUAAGUUUAAAUUCAAUAUCAAACACUUAUAUAAUAUUGGCUAGUAUACUAUCGGUAGCACGGAGGCCUUACCAAGUUGUUUUCAAUGAUGUGACUUUCAAAUUGACAAUCGGUUCCGUUAGACUUGAUCUGCACUAUUAAAAGUAUUUGGAAACUAAAUUUUAUAAUUUUUCGAUAUCAUUUGGCUAGUGAUCAAAAUAUCUCAAAAUUAACAAUUUUAAUGGCCAAUGUGAUGCGUUUGUGAAUUAACGGUGUAAAACAAUUCAAAUCUAAUAAUUUUUUUUUCACUAUUUAAAAUAAGAUUAGUAUAUCUGAUUUUAAAUUUAAAUUUUUUUUAUCAUUUUUUAUGAGAUUUUUAUUUUCAGUCAUUCAUUUUUAGACUACUCGUUUGAUAGGUAAAUAAUGUCGAAAAUUAUGAAAUUUAGUUUCUAAAUAUUUUCAAAAGUGUAGAUCAAGUUUAACGGAACCGAUCGUCGAUUUGGAAACUAUUUCAUUGAAAAAAACUUGGUAGCACAGAAGUCUCCGUACUACCAAUAAUAUACCAGCCUAACUAUAUAUAUAUAUAUAUAUAUAGAGUGAGGCUACUAUGCUAUCGGAAGCACGGAGCCUUCCGUGCUUCCAGCUCGUUUUCGAUGUUGCGACUUUCGAAUCGUCGAUCGGCACUUUCGAAUCGUCGAUCGGCUCCGUUAAAUUUUAUAUAUAUAUAUAUAUAUAUAUAUAUAUAUAUAAUUGAGCUAGAAUAUUUUUAGAAGCACCAACGCUUUGGUGCUUCUAAAUUUCUAGCCCUUGAAUCUACUCCUUAAUUACUAAUACUCAUUGGAUCAAACACUAUUCCCCCUACCACUAUCUACCACCAUCAUCUCAACUCUGCAUCUCUCAAUCUAAUAGUUAAAAACUCGAAAGCACCACUCCGUAAGUGCUUUUGAGAGUAUUCUAGCUCAACUCUGUGUGUGUAAUGCAGAAUAAUUUUGGGUUCGGUUUGGAUCGAAUACAAUCAAAAUUUAUACCCAAAUUUAAAUUCAAAUUCGUUGAGGGAUGUCUGUAUGGACGGACCGACGUUGCUGUCGGCGAAGAAUCCUGUGGUGCUGCUGCUGGAGCAGCAGAAAGCACAGUGGCAAUUCUGCAAAAAGACGGCAACUCCGGCCCCCUUUUCCAACUCUCUGCUGUCUGCUCUCCCCGCUUACGCAACUGUCCGCCACUCGGCCGACGACGUCUCUCCCCUCUCCCAGCCAGCACCACUACACACCGAAGACGCAGGGGACACUGCACAAGUACAACUGCACGGCACUAUUUUCUUUUUUCUUAAAAAAAAAAAAAACAAAAAAACAAAAAACACUUCCGAGCCCGAAAACGACGGUCGCGCGCGCGGAAGUGCGACCGGAAACUCCACUUCCGCGUAACUCGAUCGAUGCCGAACUGAUGGGCUGCGUCCUCAGCACCGCCGCCGACCGCCGCCGCGGCCCCUCCGCCUCCGCCGCCGCCGGAGCAGCCGCCGAUCGCCGGCUCAGCCCGGGGACGCUCCGGCCGUCGCCGGCCGACGCCGGCGGGUGGCCGGCGUGGCUCGUCGCCGUCGCCGGCGACGCGCUCCGCGGGUGGGCCCCGCGCCGCGCCGACUCCUUCCAGAAGCUCGCCAAGGUUCUAGAACCCUCCGCCUCUUAUAAUUCCUCUCUCUCUCUCUCUCCUCCUAAGUCGUCUCCUCUCUCUAAUCCUCGGAAGCUUGUUUUUUGAAUGCACCAACGUGCAUCUUCUUCUUCUUCUUCGGUGGUUUUCUUUUUUUUUCUUUUUUUUCUUUUUUUCUUUUGAUCAGAAGUUUUUGUUCCAUUGUGUGAAACAAUAAUUCUUUCGCAUUAUUUGAUAUGAUAUUAAAAUAAGUGGUUUCGAGUUCGAAUUACGUCGUGUUCCUAACUUUAUUUUACAUCCUUUUAUUUACUUUAUAUUGAUAUUUAGGGCUUACUUCUGAAUAUAAAUUUGAAAUAUUAUUUUUUAAAAUAUUAUUUGGUUAUUAGAGAACAAGUUAUUUUUAUUUAUUUUUGAGAUAGAUAUAACUUGUGUGAUAGUUAGGAAUUAAUUUAAUUUUGUGUUUGGACGAGAAUCGAGAUAUUUAGAGAAAUAAAAAAAAAUUAAGUUUGGUUGAGUGGGUUGGAAUAGUAAAAAUAAGAGUAAUUAUGGUCGAAAAUAAAAAUAAUUUAUCUAAAUAAUACACAUCUUAGUAUUAGUAAAAUAAUAUUUUAAUAAAUUAAUAAAUAAAUAAAUUAAAAUUAUUAUAUGAGAUGACGAAGAUUACAAAAAUAACUGUAUAAACUUUGAUGAUAACAAUCUUUCAUUUCAUUUAACAAUUUUCAGGAGCUUAUUUUAUAUUCGGUCCUUAAUCGCUUCGUUGGUAAAAUACGUUUUUUAUUUUAAUAGAUUAAUCACUAAGCCUAUCUUGUGAUUAUUAAAAAAAUAUCGAGUAAAUUAUAUUUUUGGUCCUCAUAGUUCUUGAUGCAUUUUAGUCAUCGAACUUUAAUUAGUUAUAAUAAUUUUUGGCUCGAACUAUAAGCCAUAUGAUACAUUAAUUCUCAAAAAUUCUAAAUUAUUGCAAUCAAGUCCCACAAUCCUAUUUUUUAAAUUAAUAUUGAUUAAUUACUAAUAUCGAAGUAAGGCAUUGUUACAUCAUCAAAUAGAAUAUUGUUAUCAUUAAGAAAUUUUGAGAACAAAAAUGCUAUAUAUCUCAUAGUUCUAGUAAAUUGCAAUUAAUUAAAAUUUGAGGACUAAAGUAUCACAUAUUUCAUAGUUCGAGUCAGAAAUUAUAGCGAAUUAAACUUCGAGAACUAAAUGUCACGCGCCUCAUAGUUUGAGAACCAAAAGUGCAAUUUACCCAAAAGUAUUCUUACAAGUUGUAAUUAACUAACAAAUACCUGCACUAAGGUCUUAUCUGGAUGCAUAAAUAUUUUAUUUUGUAUAUAUUUUUCUAAUUUAUUAUAAAAGUUUAUAGUAUUUGCUAGAUGAUAAGUACGAUCACAUUCUAGGAUGAUGUAACCUAUUAAAUUAUGAAUAUUUAAAAAUUUUUAAAGAUUAAACGAAAUUUCAUGUCGAAUUAUUAAAUUAUCAUUGAAUAACUUAUUUCCCUUCCAUCAGUAUGCAUGGCAUGGUUUAUCUGAUUUUUAUUAUUCACAAAGUGUAGAGAGUUUUUACAGUGCAUCGUUUCUUAUUAUAUCGAUCUUUUACGUAACAAUGUCGACGUUCCGAGUGUUUGAUGUUUUGCUCCUGUGAAUGUGCAUGCAUGCAUAGAUUGGGACCGGGACGUACAGUAACGUGUACAAGGCGCGGGAGGUGGGGAGCGGCAGGGUGGUGGCGCUGAAGAAGGUGCGGUGCGAGGCCGCGGAGGCGGAGAGCGUGCGCUUCAUGGCGCGGGAGAUCGCCGCUCUCCGUCGGGUGGGCUCCCACCCGAAUGUGGUGCGCCUCGAGGGGAUCGUGGUGUCGCGCGUCUCGCACUCGCUCUACCUCGUCUUCGAGUACAUGGAGCAUGACCUCGCCGGCCUCGCCGCCACCCCCGCUGUCGCCUUCUCCGAGCCCCAGGUGAUCAGUGGGUCUCACACUCUCUCUCUCUUUCAAUCUACAUAUCACUGGGGCAAGAACACCAUUGAUCGAACACCUCGUGAACAUUGUUAGAAUUUUUUACAUCCAUCUUAUCAACUAUAUGCUGUUUUGAAAUAGGCCCCUCAAUUUUAUUAUUUCGAUUAUGUUAACGAUUUCGUUCAAUUACUGAUUUGCUAGCAUACGUCAUGCGCGAGAACUUUGAUUGAUUCAUGCACGCACAAUGUAAUUUGGCAGGUGAAGUGCUACAUGAGGCAGCUGCUCUCGGGGAUGGCACACUGCCACGCCCGCGGAGUCCUGCACCGCGACGUCAAGUGCUCCAACCUCCUCCUCAACAACGAGGGGGUGCUCAAGAUUGCCGACUUCGGCCUCGCCGCCACGUUCGACCCGCGCCGCCCGCGGCCGAUGACCAGCCGGGUGGUCACGCUGUGGUACCGCGCGCCAGAGCUCCUCCUUGGCGCUACGCACUAUGGUGUCGGCGUCGACCUCUGGAGUGCCGGGUGCAUCCUUGCCGAGCUGCUCGCCGGCAAGCCCAUCUUGCCUGGCCGCACCGAGGUGCUUCUCUCUCUCUUCAUUUUUUUUUCAACUCAACUUGCAUUACUAGUAGUAUCUGAAUUUUAAGUCUAGUUUUACUUUGAACUUAAUUUUAAGAUGACAUUUUAAGGCGAACAUUUAGUCACCGUCCUCCUAAAUCGAUCUUCUUGGUAACAUUGUAAUAAAAAAAAGGGUCCUAAGUCCCCUUUAUUUCGUGCGGACACGGUUUAUCUGAUAUAUACGGAGUGUUAAGACUGAUUCUGAGCUAUUUCCUACCAUAUCAAUCUUUUGGAUAGCAUAGGCAAUAAUUUUUCUCGAAUAUUUUGUAGCAUGAACUGAAACCUUUCAAAAUUUUGUGAUGUUAACUAUCGAGCUCAGUUUUUUUCGUGCCAAAGUGAAACAAGAAUUUAAGGUCAAUAAUAGUACAAUUUCCCCUGUUUUUCUCCAUCAGUUCUUACUGAGUUGCCGAUUUUCCAUGCAUGGUCUUUUCAAUUUUGAUUUCAUUUACAGUUUAAACAAGCUCAUUGUUCUAAAAGCUCAAACUUCUGUACAAUGCGCAACUACCUUAAACUUUACUCCCUAUGUGGGAGGGGAUUUGAGUGCAAACUCAUUUUGCGGACUCAAAAUUGUAUGAAAACUUAGGAUCAUGAAAUGAUCUUAUGAUUUCGUACUCUGAUAUCAUAUAAAAUAAAUCAUCCAGGUUGAGCAGUUGCAUAGAAUCUUCAAGCUAUGCGGGUCCCCGUCAGAGAAGUACUGGAAGAAGUCGAAGCUGCCGCACGCGACCAUCGUCAAGCCGCAGCAGCCCUACAAAUGCUGCAUCGCGGAAACCUUUAAAGAUUUUCCUCAGUCUUCUAUUUCCCUCAUCAAGAAGCUUCUCUCAAUCGACCCCUCAGAGCGCGGUACAGCCGCCGAUGCCCUCAACUGCGAAGUGAGCACACUCCAUUUGAAUCUUUUCUUCCUUAUUCUUGAAGAUAUUAACAUGGCUUUUUUGUCAUAACUGUCGCUGAAGUUUUGACCUUUAUUUCAUCCUCGUGUUCAUAGAUUUAAUCAUAACAGUUUACUUUUUGAAGUUGUCUUAACCUUUUCCUUGUUUUAUUACGAACUCUUGGGUUGUAAUUGAAAGGCCGAUUUGAAAUCAAACGAAAUUUCAGGGCCUAGUACUUUUCAAUUGAAACUUUAAACACAAAAUUGAAAUCAAGGUCAAAACUUCAAGGAUUAAAUUUGUAAUAGUAUUAUAUAUCCAAUCAAAAUUAAAUGCCUCCUUUCAUGUUUGAUUCUCAAUUCUUUUAGUUCUUUACGACAAUGCCUUAUGCCUGCGAGCCAUCGAGCUUGCCGCGGUAUCCGCCCAGCAAGGAGAUGGAUGCAAGACUACGGGAAGAGAAGGCGAGAAGGUAAAUUUGCACCUUAGUCUCUGAACUUAUAGCUAAGUUUUGCUUAAGCCAUCAACAAUCAACAAUUGUAUUUGGAAUAUUCGACUCCAAUGCUCCUUAACAAUCCUUUUGUCACCUAUCUCGGCGGGACUAAUGGAAAUGCCAAUGUGAUUAUCUUAUAUUCCACUCGGAAGCGAAGUUUUUCCUCUUGCAAAAUGCGAACAUGUUUUUGGGACCAAUUGUUUGAUUGUAAGCGAGAUUAUGGGUGGAACACUGCUUCCAAAUAUGUUGUAGAUGAUAGUUAUAUUGAUUUUCCUCUUAAUAUGUCCCGCUAAUGUAAUUGACAUGGACUAUGGUCUAUGCGUAAAUCAAAAGGUUGAGGAUUAGAAGGGCAAAUAAGCAGUGUGCAGGAAUCAACUUGUGAGUUUUACUUGUGAAAUAUCCAUCAUUUCGAGUUAUGAUGAUUCUGAAUUUGUCUGGAGUAUGCAGGCAAAGAAGGAUGGACGGCAAAGGAAAUGUCGAAGCUGCAAAAAGGUCGCGAAUGCAUAAUCAACGAAGCAGAGCAAUCCCGGCCCCAGAAGCGAAUGCCGAGCUACAAGUUAACUUGAAUGUAUGUGUUCUAAACCAUUUAUACCAUUCAACUCUCAUUCAUACCAAACUUUUGCUAUUCAAUUUUAGGACUAAAUAACUCUUCGCUAAAUUUAAGGAUCGAGGGAAGAUAACCUUUGUUAUCUCUUUAGUCGCGGAAACCAAAUUCUGAUAAUGAGAAGCAUGUGAAGUACUGUAUACUAAAUAGGCUCUGUAUCAGAACAAAGGUAAAAGUUUGAAAUGAGAAUCAUAUCAAAAUUUUGAAACAAUGAAUACCUGAGUGUUCACUGUAAUCAAACUUAAUUGAUCAUAGAAUUACGGUGAAAAAUAGAUGAAUUCCAUUCAAGCAAUAGAGUGUAAUAAAAGCACAAAGAGUAUAAUUCGCGAACACGACAAUGAACUUAGAUGAUCAAUAAUAUAUCAUUAUCGAAUUACCGAAACACUUACAUAUCUUUCUACUUGUAAUGUUGUUUUAAACUUAGCAGAGGCACAGGCUGAUGGCUCGAGUUAGCGCGGCGAGCAAGAGCGAGAAGUUCCCGCCGCCCCACCAGGACGGUGCAGUCGGUUCCGAUGAUCCGUACAAAGCGCGGCUCUCUUUCAUCGCCGUCGAUCGGUCUUUUGCUUCGUCGAUCUUUCAAACGAAGGAAGAGCCUGUCGGCUUGUCGCCAACUUCUUCAGAAAGUGCUUCUAGGAAAAGCCAUGCAGCAAGGAAGAGUGCAGGUAGAGGUUGGCCUCUGUCAGCUGCUAAGCCAUCUUCAAUAGGGAUACUUACGGAGUUUGGAGAAAAUUAGCAAAAUUAGUGGGAGUAAAGGGAAAGAAUCUAAGAUAUACCAAGGGGGGGAAAUGAGAAAUUUCUAGUGUUUGAGAUGCUUUUAUGUUAAUUUCCUGGUGCAAAAUAUGUACAGCUAAACCAGUGUUUUACCUAUAUACAUUAUAAAUCUUGUGAUUAUCAUCUUUGAGAAAGAAAAGAAGAGAGAACAAAAAGGAGAAAAUUUAGUAGAAUUUUUGAGUUGUCGAUGAAUUUUCCCCUUUGAUAGUGUUAGAUCAAAUGCAUUGACCCCCCUCGACUAAGGCUUAUUUAGAAAUAGAGCCCUCAGCUAUUUUUAUUUUGAUUGAAAUUUCCUCAACUUUUAAUUUUUUUUAUUAGUUAAGUUAAAAUAAAUUUAAUGAUUCUAUUAGUUAUUUACUAAAAGUGUUUAAAGUCUGAAAUCACUUUGAAACUUCAAACAAAUUCACAAGUCGAAGGGUCUCAAUGACGAUUAAUUGCUGUUUGAAAAAGAAAAAAAAAAGUUGAGACGCAAUUUCAGAAUAUUCUGUAGUUGAGGGGCUCUGUAUACAUUUCCAUGUUUCCAAUGCGAAAAGCCUCCUCUCCCCGCCGCGCGAAACCCUAAUUCUCCGACACACCCUCCACCUCCUCCUCGACGCUCCUACUAUUACUACUCUCAUUACGCGGUGGAGAUCGAUCGAUCGAUCGAUCGAGAGAGAGAGAGAGAGAGAGAGGGGGGCGAGAGAGAUGAGCGGGGGGUUGUUGGGUGCGUUUUGGGGGACGCGGGCGCUGGAGGUGGUGAAGCGGAACAACUCGCCGGGGCUCCUGUGGAAGCGCAUCAAGCUCACCACCACCCGAAAGAACAAUGCCAAGAAGCGCCUCCGCCGCGUUUGGCAGGUUCCUUCUCCUCCCCCCCCAAAUUCCCCAGCUUCUCUAGGGUUUUGAUUCCGGUUACCUAAGAAAUUUUGUGUGCGUGUGUGAUGCUCAAUCGGGUUUUAUGGCGCCUCAUCGGAUCAAAGCCGACUCUUGAUUCGCAUUUCUGAUGAAAUGGAGGUAUCCAAUUUCCGAUUUCCCUCUUAAAUGUGCGUAAAACCCUAAACCCUAAUAUACCCCACGUUUCCUUCAAUUCGCAAACUUUUUUGGGGUUUCGAUCCAGUAGUCCGAAAGUUUGGUGUUUUCUUUGGUCUUUAGUGAUGCUAAAUUUGGAUUUAUGGCACUUCACCGAUCAAAAUCGGAUCUUGAUAACUAGUUCCGAUGAAAUGAACGAUGCCCAAUUCCAUUUCCCUCUCAAAUGCACAUAUAACUCUAAAACCCCUAAAUUCUAAUGUAACCCCCCCUCCCUGUUUCUCCCGAUUAGCAAACACUUCAAGGGUUUUGGUCAUGGUAAUCCCAAAUUUUGAUGUUUUAUUUGGUCUUUUGGUGAUGCUUAAUUGGUAUAACUGAUAAAAAUCGAAUCGUGAUAACGAGUUUUGAUGAAAUGAAGAAUACCCAAUUUCUCCUUUCCCUCGUACAUGUGCAUGAAACUCUAAAACUCUAAACCCUACUGUAACCCGCCUUUUUUUUACCUAUUCUCAAAUUCUUACCGAGUUUCGAUAUGGCUAUCCCAAAAUUUUGAUUUCUUUUUUAUGGUUGUUUACCGAUGCUAAACCGGUAAUUGUGUCAUUUCAUCAAUCAAAAUCGAAUCUUGAACUAGUUCCAAUCGAAAGGAGUACCCGAUUUCCUAUUUCCCUUUUUGAAGUGCAUAAAACCCUAAAUCCUACUAUAAUAUGAGUGAAGAUUUGAGCAUGGCAGGUCCUUCUCCUUCUACCACAACUCUCACCUUUUCACCCCAUUCUUGGAUUGUUCUAGGGGUUUGAUCCAUUAAUCCAAAAUUUUGAUUUUUUUUUUCAACUAUGUCAAUAGUGGUUAAUCGGGAUUUGCAGCAUUUAGCCGAUCAAAACCAAACCUCGAUAACAAGUUCCAGAGAAAGGCUCCUGUUAACCCUUUCCCUCUAAGAAGUGCGUAAAACCCUAGAAGCUGUAAACCCUACUAUCUAUCCACACUACAAGUCAAGAUUCGAUUUUUCUGAUCAGUUCUCAGAAUCAUCAAUUUGAUGGAACUCACCAUUGUCAACCCUGUGAUUGAUGCUGUAAAAUUCCUGAUACUUUUGCGUUCUGUUAUUUGGCAAUAAGGAAAUAAAGGGAAUGGUGAAGCAGAAGGGAGAUGGAUAAUUUUUCUUCAUGGUUUGAAAUGUAUUUGAUAUAGACAAGAUUGACCUGGUCAAAUGAGGGGAAGUUUAAUACUUAGGGUUGUUUGCAACUAGAAUAGAUUGCUUGAUGUAUUGGUUGCUCACUAUAUGAAGUUCUUGCUUUAUUGGAUGGGAACUUACAUUCAUCAUGUCUCUUUAUCCCAGGCUUUUGGCUCGUUUACUGCUAUAGCUGGAACAUCUAUUGAUUAUAUUACAAAUCAGUUCUAAAUUUUGGCGAUAGUGAAUUUGUAAUUACCAAGUCUAUUUACUGAACAAAGUUUUGUUAAUAUCCAUGUUGUUGCUUCUCUGAAUUUUACUUAAUACUCCAUUCAUUUAUUGAAAUUAAUUAGAUUUUAUAUCUAAAUUAGAUAGAUUUGCAGACCAUUUUGCUCUGUGGUAUUUUUUACCAGAAUUCACUGAGUUUCCUCUUUAUCCCUUCCUGCAGUGUUGUUAGGCGUGUUGAAGCUGGAUAGUAAUUUCUUUAUUUUUACUGUAGUAGCUCUGCCUGUCGAUCAUAUUGACAGUUUUCUUAGUCAAGUCCUCAAAUUGUAAACUGUUCUUAUAAUUGAAGAGUUUCUAACUGCCCAUUAUCUAGAACCAUAGAACUAUGUUGGUCUUGUGGUCACCUUGUGAGCUCUUCCAUUUAAAGGUUAUGUCAUGAAUACAUUAGACAAGCACUUUGUCAUUCUGAUUGCUAUGUCCAUUCUUCAUAUAUAAUAUCAUCCCCAAUGCUUGAUUCUGGUUGUGGUUUACUGAUACCAUUUUAAUUUUCUAACUCUUUUUUGCUUCUAGUAAAAUGAUUUGUUGCGUAACUUUUACUGAAGCUGCAUUUAAUCAGUUGUAAUGGAACUACUAAGCUUCCACGAGUGAUAACUCCAGAGCUCUACAAAUGGACGCUCUUUCCAUUUUGCAAAGGGAGAGGAAAUGAUUUAGUUGAAGCCAGUACACUUAUUGUCAGCUGGAGGAGCCUUAUUAUCUCCACCAACUAUUUGUUACAUGUUAAUUAGUACAGUAUACAGGUUGGUGGCAAGUACUAGAAAAGAGGUCAAGAAACCAAGCCAUAUAAUCAUCACGUUACUUAAUAAGUCACAAAUUAACAAUCGCUGAUGCCCAUUUACUUUGGGUAGGUAUGCGACUAAAGUUAGGUGCAAGACAUUAAGGAAUAGAAUAGAAUAUCACCAAUUGAAUUUGACAACCUCGUAACCAACUACAAAUUGCCUACUAACAGAGCUGCCUCCUACUUUUUUUCUCUCUGUUCCUUUUACAUUUUUUGACCACUUUUCGUUGUGCAGCAGUGAUUUCAUGAUGUGUAAUUUUGGAAAAUUGUCUUCAAAUUAUAAUAAUCUAUGAACUUAAAUGUGCAACAAACUAUUGCAGAAUGAGGCGGUAUUGAGGGCUUGCGCUGAAUCAGAAGCACCAAAAACAUCGGCGACGACUGCUUCUGCAGUUGAAGGUGAGCAGUAGCCUGGGAACUGACAAUUAUGCGCUUUAACAACUUCGACAAGCCUUUGGAAGGUCUAAUUUUUAUUACCUCUUCUUUAAUGUGGGCGAAAAUAUCGUUCUUUGUUAAUUCCCCGAAAUGAAAAACAACGUGUUAUGUUCUCGUUUCGAACGACGGAAUACAGAAUGAUUGUUCAUCAUGCCGGAUUUGACUCUUUGCUUCUCUAACCUCUGUUGUUUCGUCAGCAUCAUGCGGUUCUCACGUAUAAAUUUUUGCAUGACAAUUCGUGGAGAACUUCACUUCAGUUCUCACUGUAUGUACUCAAGUGAUCUAGUCUCUGAACUUGUAGAAAGUUUUCAUUUCAGCCAUUUGUUCCAACUUAGUUUGUUUUCGUGUCGAAGCUCCAUUUUUAAGGCAGGUUAAGAUUAGGAUCUCAGCAGACUUGAGCACGAGCUAGUUGGGCUACUUGGCUCAGCCCACUCUGGUCCGGUUCGUCGGGCCGUUUGAUACUAAGAAUCUGUUGUUGUCCCUGUAUAGAAUCUGCUGAAACUUGUGGUUUUUAGGUGUAUUUUUCGUCGAAAUGUAUUUAGUGUUACUUCAGAAAUUAUUUAUACAUUCAUUUUGCCUUUUUUUUUUUAGUGAGCUGGCAAUGUGGGCCAAACGUUUUUCCGAGUGAAAAAUAGAGAGAAAAUGAAUGGUAGCAUACUACCACUUCGUUUAUCUUUUUUAAUAAUUAAUUUAGCUGAAAAUAUAAAGCAAUUAAGUUUUGGAUUUGGAACUUCGAGUGUCAAUCACCAAAUACGUUGUCAUUUGCACUAGAGACGAUCCGUGCGAUAACGCUGUUAAAAAAAAAAAAAAAUUGAAGUCGUAGAAAGUGCCGUGUUUAAGAAUACCUGCAUUCGUGCUUUGAAUGAUUCUGAAAAAUCUUAAAGCAUUUUGGAUCCCUUCUCCUUCAAUGCUAUUGUUUCCUAUCACUUUCUUAUAGCAUUAGAGGACUCGAGCUUCGAAACACUUAAAUUUUUUCUUAUUGUUUGCAGUAUGAAAGCAAAUCUUUUUGGCAAAGUAGAAUCUCAAAGUAGGCCUUAGUCGUACCAAGCAAGUACAGGAACAAACUAUUUUUUAAUAAUUUUAUUUUCAAUUAUAUUUUAAUAAUUUUAUUUUCAACACUUCUUCUUACGUUUGGACUUUAGAACAGACGUGUGAUAGAAUUAAAUGCGAAUAUAUUAAACAAAAGUCAGACCCAAAACCUUCUGUUCUAAUAUUAUUUAUAUAUAUAUUUUUAAAAUAAUAAUUUAUCAGAGAAUAAUAUUUUUAAGAAGAAUAUAUUUUGGCGGAGCAUUUUUAAAUUAAGCCUCUCUGGUACCAAGUACGAACCAGGUCUGAAGAGAUAUGGCUGGAAUAUUGAGUCAUGCUGACCAAUUUUUUAAUAAUUAUUAGGGAAUAUAUAUCUUGUUUUAAGACUCCAAAAAAUAAAUUCCCCCCCUUUUAUUCUCCCUUCGCUUGUUCACACACUGCACAAACCCUAGUAACUGUCCUUUUAAAACUGAACCCAAACCAACCAUCCAUUAUUAUUAUUAUUAUCAUCAUCAAUCCUUAUUAUUAUUAUUAUUAUUAUUAUCAUUACGCUUACUUAUAUAAAUAGAAAAAAAAAAUUAGAUACCCUUUUGUAAUUUACCUUUUCUUUUUUCUUCAUGUACUCUUUGAUUUUAACUGUCAUCUUUUUCAUGGAUGUCAGCAUGUGCAUCGUAGAUUGUCAUUUUUUUUUACGUUCAAAUAUAAUUUAUAAGAGACUAAAAUAAAAUAAUAAUUUUUAUAAUAAUAAUAAUGAUAAAUAUUAUUUUAUUGUUGUUACAUGAUGAUAGAUAGAUCAUAGAUGAUGUACUUGUUUCUUGUUCCUCUCAAACUCUAUGGCAUGGUGGUUAGUGGGGAAGUGUCCCGAAGCUUUUAUUAGCUUCUAUGCAAUUUUAGGGUUGAGUGGUCGCCCACGCCGGCCGUGGGGCCCACGUGAUCGCGGGUGACGACGACCGCCACGUCAGCAAUCCAACACCACACUCUUGUCGGGUGAUCUCGGGUCGGGUCGGAUCCCUCCCGACCGUUGUUUCUUAUUGGUUAGGAUCCGCUACUACUACUACACUAGAAAUAAAUAGAGUAUAUGAUGAAUAAGAAGAUAACAAAAAAUCAAAAACUUCUGCUGCUGCGCAGCUGUAAGCAGAAGCAAGAGCAAGUUAACAUUAGACAGCACUAUGUAUUACAAUAACAUACCAAAAAGUUAUAGUGCUUGCGUGAUUUCGCUGUAGUUUUUUUAACUGAAAGACUGUUUACGGUAAAAAUUAUUUAAAAAAAUAUUUGUUAACUUUUUUUUUUCUAAGAAAUUAUAAGCUUAAUUAGUUUGUCUUUCUAAAUAAAAUUUAAUUUGAUUAUUAUUAUUUUAAUUACUAUGUGUGUAAUGUACCAUAUCGAUUCUUUUUAAAAUAUAAUAAUUAUUUCAGAAGACAAAUCAAGCAAAAAAAAAAAAACUUACUUGGUAUAUAUUUCUCUUUUCACUUUUCUAUUAUAUUAAAUUAUUUUAGAUAUUCAAACUACUGCUUCUCGUAACGGAGAAGUUGUUGUAAAAGUCAAAUCAAACAGGUUCUUCUAUACGGGUCUCGGAUUACCGGGUUAUCGGGUGUGCGCGAGGCACGUGAACAACCCGGAAAAGGACAUUAAGGGUGGUCAAAGAGGAGAGAAAAUGGCGCUUUCAUUGAAUUUAUAGAGGGGGACUAUUAAUUAAAAUAUAUUAAAAACUUUUUUUUAAAAAAAAGGGCGAAAAAAAGGAAACAUAAAAACGGUGUCGUGAACGAAGUUCCCAAGCUUUAUUUAGUUGGGUGAUGAUCCGAAACCCACACUCACAAGAAACAUCGGUCGGCUCCUCACCUUUUUCUCUUAUUUUUUAAUUAAUUUAAUUUAUGUCACGGCUCGCACGUAACGCUCCCACCAUUUGAUCUCAUCAAACUCUCCCAUUUUCAUUUUUUAAUAAGAUAAUAAUUAAUUUCAAGUGCUUCUUCCGUUCCAUGCUCUACUAAAUUUUCACAACUUAUUAUAGAGAAUAUAUAUUAAUUUACUACGCUAUCUUUUUCUGUGCUCUGUUCCAAUCUCACGCGCUACGAGUUUUUUUAUUCGCAUAUGUGUACUAAAGCCUACGUUGAUUGACUCUGCAGGAGAUAGUAUAUAAUUGCUGUUUGAAUAUAACUAUUUGUUUCGAGGCUAUAAUUUAGGACGUGUUUUGCCCUACCUAUUAAUUCUUCUACUUUUCUGCUUGUAAUUUUUAAUACUAUUACCCAAAUAAUACUUCGUCGAUCAGUACCGCACCCUACAGUAUGUAGUACAAAAAUUUCACACAAUAAAUAUUUUGAACAUUUUUAUUUGUCAAACAGCUGAACACCGCCGCUUUUUCGAGCAGAAAAAUUAACUUACUCUUGAGAAAAACAAAGACCAUGGAAUAGAUACAACAAAAUACAUAGAGUAGAGUAAUAAGCUACACAAAACACAAGGCAACCACAACUUCACCAUCCAAAGUAUAAAAUUUGGGUUUAGAGGCAAAGGAAACUAAUUAAUUAAUUAAUUAAUUGAUAUAAUAAAUGCUUGACGAUGUGUUAACGAUGGCCAAAAAGGCAUAAACCUAACCUGAUGUUUCAUAGUGCCGUCCACAAGUAAAAUAACUCUUUUAUUAAACAUUACAUAAUAGGAUUCAUUUUUAUUUAUGCACAUUAAAUGAACCCAUCAUUGUCAUAGUUAAUUUUUUUUCGCAUUUAUGUAUAACUUCUUGGGGUGGUGAACUUAUUUGAGCCGUUACCUAUUUUUAUUGGGAGAUUAUACUUUUCUUCAACUUGUAACACAUAAACAGUCUCCAAUUAUUUAAUUGUUUUUUUUUUUNGGUGGCCACUUCAUAUUGCAUAAAUAAAAGUGAUAUAUGAAGUGUCAACUUGUAAGUAACACAUGGAAAUAGUCAGUUUCUUGUAGUUAAUUGAAGGGCUAAUGUAGAUUUGGUCCUAAGUUUUGAUGCAUAUUUUUCAAUUUUAGUUUUAUGAGUUUUUAUUUAUAUAUGCAAUAGUUAGAUCUUUCUGUUAGUUUGUUGUCUGAAAAUAAUAAUAAUAAUAAUAAAAUACUAUAUGAGCGCUAUUAUUAGUGUUGGCGGAGGUUAAGUUGGACCAAAUCACAGUCGAUAUCUAUAGGGACUUUGUUUAUACGAUUUCAGUAAAUUCGCAGUUCAAGUUUUUCAAAUUAUGGUUAGCACCGAUAAUCCAACGAGUAAUAUCAGAACAGGUCAUGAGCUCGAUGCUGAGAGGAAGGGGAUUGUUGGAAUUGAUUGUCUCCUCCUUUCUCACAGCUCGAGCUUUUAGUAUUACGGUUAACGCAUUUUGUUAAAAUUGAAAUAAGAGGACAGUAAACUCACCAAACUUUAGAUUGAGAUGGAAAUUUUGCGGGUCCGAGUCAGAUACAAAAUUGUUAUGAUUGAAACUCCGCAGAUGAAAUCGAAACCUUUAUUAAGGAAAAAAAAAAUAGAAAGGAAAGAAAAGUUUAGAAAGGAAUGGUGGAAAAUCUCCCAACUUUUUUUUUUUUCACUUUGAACUUUUGCUUUCCAAUAUUAAGAUGCCCUUUGCCUAAACACACUUCAACUUUUAUGAAAACCCUCUUUAACCCUGAGUAGUUCCCAUGUGCACCCACCAUUCAAAUGCAACUUUGGAACCUUUGUUAUUAUUUAUAUAAUAAUAAUAAUAAUUAAUUUCUCACUACCCCACACAUGUUUGUUAGGUUGUACUCUAUCAGAGAAACCCUAUUAAUUAGUGAUUCCUACAGUGUAUAUAACACAUUGUUGAACCCAUUUUAUGUCAUUAGGUUCAACAAAUACUCCUCCCCCUAUUAAAUUUUUCUCAAAAUUUGGUAGCUCAUCCCUCCUAUAAUUAGGAGCUCUUUACAACCUGUCCUGUAAAUACAAAAUUGCUUUUUUUUAAUUGUGAGUCCUUUCAAAGUUGAUCACCUACUUUGCCUUUAAUACAACAAGUGCUUCUUCUUUAUCUCUCUCUUGUUUAAUUAGAUUCCAAAAAGUGGACAUACAUUUGUUAUUCUUAAGCUAAUGAUGCUUUGUGUGCUCUUAUGAAGCUUCUGCUUGAAGCAACCUAGUUUCUUCUAACUUGUACAAGUUAGUUAAAUUCUAAUUAACAAGUCUUAUCCAACAUGUGAAUGUACUAUUGCCUAUCAAAUAUUUCUCCCCUUUUUUUCAAAGAUUCAUUAAUGUGACGAAAUUAAGGUAUCCGGUAACAGGCGUGUCCUAGCGUGAUUAACAUGUCGUAUCUGGUUAAUUUACCACUAUUUAGAGUCUUUAGACUAGCCAGCGUAGCUCAAAAGAAAUCGUCGUAAAAUGUAACAGUUAUUGUGUAUCAACAUUAAUCGCGACCGAUACCUAAUUAAAAAAGGCUUAGUAUGCUGUUUCUUUAAAACCUAAACUAAGGCAAGACCUAAAGUCAUACUAAAAUUGAUUGAUACAUGUAGAAUUUGGCAUAAAGUGGGAGUUAUUUUUGCCCGUUAAGUUUGGAUUAUCCUUGAAGGUUACAUCAUUGCUAAGUUAUCGUCUGCAUCGAACGAUAAAUAUUCGAUCCAAAUCAUCUCCGCACCGCCCAAAUUGUCGCCCAUUUGUUAUGCUAAUGUAGUUUUCAAUGUCCUAAUCAUGGGGACUAUUCCUAGCUUUUCUUUCAUCAAAUAAGCAAAUUUAGAGGGGACAAUUUUCACCCAAGAAUCAGAUCAUAAAAUAAGUAGAAUCUUAUUAAGAAAAGAAAAGUCAAAGUACACACAACAUCAUGAACUUGUCCUCUAUGAAAUGAAAUAUUGCCUACUCAAUUAAUUGGAGAAUGGAACUUAAAGCAUGAGUACAUGUAAUCUCUCAAAGCUUUUACAUUUGGCAUGUUAAUUGUGGAUGAGUAAGCAGGGGGGGGGGGGGACGCAAACUUCGCUUCAAGGGUUUUGGGCCAUUCACAAGGGAUUCUUUUAUUUGACUAAGUCAAAAACCCUAACUCAACAAUAAAACACAUCAAAAUCACAGGUCCUAAUCAGAUGUGAUGCCCCUCUCUCCCCUUGUCAAAGCAAAAUCUAUGCAAUAUAUUCUUGACCAAGAUGGGCAUAAAUUUAAGGGACCCAUUUGCCUUUGACCAUUCUCUCUCAAUGACCCUCAUACCUUUAGCUACCCCUUUUCUUCUUUUUUUUUUUUUUUUUUUUUUUUAAACAAAGAAAGAAGGAAACGUUAAAACAAAAGGGUUUGUAAGCAUCUCUAUCACAAGCCAUAUAUUUUUACAAUUAUAUCUACGCCUUUAAUUAUAUUCACCCAUUAGAUUAUACUAUUUAACCAACUAAUCACUCAACCUUAGGGGGUCAACAUCAUUCUAACCGUAUAUCCUUUAAUCCAAAGGCCAAAAACUUAUAAGUAUCAAUGACUUGGUACUUUUAAAAGUAUAGAAGCUCAAUUUUAUAUAUAUAUAUAUAUAUAUCGUAGGAUUAUUGUGCUAUUAGGAGUACAGCAGCUCUUGUGCUCCUAAUUUUUUAAUCACCUAUUGAGUUUGAUAGGUGGUUAGAAUGAGAGAAAAAAGAUAUAUUGGAGAGAAAUUCAAAAAGAAGAGAAAUCGAGACAUCCAAUUUCUCCCCAAUAUCUCUUCUCUCUCUCACUCUAAUCACCCAUCAAAAUUGAUGGGUGAUUAAAAAGUUAUGAGCACAAAGACGGUUGUACUCCUAAUAGUAUAGUAAUCUUGCUCUCUCUCUCUCUCUCUCUCUCUCUAUAUAUAUAUAUAUAUAUAUAUAUAUAUGCUUUAAGCCACUGCCCCCUUUUAUGCCCUUUUUUUCACAGCAUUGGAUUCUCCUUUGUGCUUACAAAAGCCACACCUUUGUAAUUUGAUUCCCAGUUAUGGGGGGUGAGGAUUCUGAGUUGCUGCUAAGCUACAAGAGGACUAAAUUUCUCAAAGAAGAAAAAAAGGAAGAAGAAAGCACACACAUUAGUGAUGUGAUAGAAAUCUUAGAAGAUAAAAAGUAUAAUUGAUAAGUCAAUUUUAAAAUAUCAAAUUUAUAAGUUAUUUGAAUAAUAAAUUGUAACGUGUAGAAUACUGAUUUAUCAAUUGUCUUUUGUUCAGUAUAUUUCAAAUACAGCUCUAUGCCAUUGUGUGAGCACUUAUAUUGCAUCUAAUUAUAUUUUGAACUUUUUAACUCGGACAAUAACAAAUAUUACUUUGGCAAUAUGAGUUCUCAUAUAAAAACAUUCCCAAAGAAGUGACAAAGCUUUACACUAAUGCUUAAUACUUAAAUUGGCAUUUAUUCUCUAAAAACUAGUUUAGAUAUGGAAAUAGUCCACAAAAGAGAAAAAGACUCAAAAAAGUUAAAUUUUUUUUCACUCUUCACUUCCCUACUUCCUAUGAGUUGUUUACAUUAGUCUUUUGUGCAGAAUAUGCCAAGAAGAUAAAUAUUUUUUUUUUUAAAAAAGACAACAAUGUAAUUGAGAACAUUGGCUUUCAUUAAGAAAAAAAACAUCUUUGCAAGAUUAGCCAUCAAAUUCAGCUUGCAGCAUAGGGCUCUCUUGUACCUAACAUGUAAGUAAAAAAGAACUUGUACAAGAAGAUUAAAAGAGGUUACAGUUCCUAAAGCUCAGAGUUAUUUAUGUUGGAUUUUCCGAAAGAUCAAAGGCGGGGCGGGGAGGCUCAACCGCGACGGGUACAGUAAAGCAGAAGGUCCAGCUUUCUCUCCUCCUCACGGAGCUGAACGAUUACAACUGCUACUCGUCUCCUCUCCGUUGGCAGAUUCAUCAGAAAGAUCCGUGACGCAGCUCGAGUCCGACGAGGAUGAUGAAGGCGAGGGCGGAUUCGAAGGGUGUUCUCGCCGCCUCAUUAAACCUAUGAAGACCGCUGGGUUAACUGGAGUCUGCUGCUCUUCGAUCUCGACUUCCGUCGUGGUGGCUCUCUUCUUCUUAAAAAUGCGACAGAGCACCCAUCCGUUGGUCGACACCGCGGGAUUCUGCAUUACAAAGAAGUACAACUUCAGUAAGAUAUUUGUGAUAUUCAUGAUUGUUCUCUAUCCUCUUCAUCCACAACGAUCGAUAUGUAACAGCAAGCCUACAAUGAUGAGAGCUAGUCGAUAUAUCCAAUCUUAGAUCAAAAGGAAUCCAUUCGAACAGCAAAGAAGCUAAGAGGAUUACAGAUACAAGAUCCAAUUAUGUCGAAAGAGUCCGUUACUGGGCAUCAUCUGUAGAACCUCUAAACUCUUCCUGAAUGAGCAUCUUUUUCUUCUUUAAAUGAAUAAAUGCGACAAAAUCGAUGCAAAAAAGUUUCUAACUUUUAUUACCAAAAAACAAGAAGCCGAUAUAUAGAUUGCAAACAAUUCACCAUCCAGCAGCCCAUUGAAUCACAUAGAUACAUACACAAGUUGAAAGAAAUAUAAGUACAUGAAAUCAUAACCAAGUGGAGGGCCAAAGAGCGCGGCUAAAUUUGUUCUUCUUAACCUGAUUUAUCAAGCUAGGGCAUAAGAAACAGCAGUAAUUGAGCUCCUGAGAUGUCGAAGAACACUAAAAAUGGAAAUUAGCUCACAUGGGAUUCGGGUCCGGAGAGGCGAUACUCGUGCAUGAUCCAAUCGGUUUUCGUACCCCUCGGGGGCCUUCCUUGGUAGAACACAAGGAACUUCUUCAUCCCCACUACUUGGUUGAACCUACCACCAACUAUUUGCCUAUCUUUCCCUGUCGCCUUCCAAUACCCGGACACCGUCGCCCUGUUCGAUCGAAUACCGUUUGGGUAUUUCGCCUCUACUCGGUUGAAGAAGUAUCUCUCAUCUUCGCCCCCACCUUUAACACAAAAGUAGGAAAUUUUGGUUCAAUUUUCUGUAAGAGGUAUUGAUACUUUUGCAUAACUUUUGUUCCACAUGUAUGUAAUAAAAGAAUCAAUCUUGCUAUAUACUGUUUAGUAGUUCAUGUUCGUAAUCUCCAUCAAAAUUUUUACUAGGCACAAUUUUUCUCAAUUAAAUGCUACAUGGGUAUUAACAGGAUUCAAAUCACAUAGCAUGCUAAACAACCAAUUUCCCCAAAAGCUAAAGAAAAUCCUUAACUUUUACUAAAAUCAUUUUUUUUAGUUCAAAAAAAAUAUCCCUAAAAGCUAAAGUUUACUUUAAAAACACUUUGACCCUAAACUCAAACAAUCAUAUUGCAUGCACCAUGAUGUUCAAAAAUUGCUCCUUUUUUUUCUCUUUUUUUUUUUUUCUUUUUGUUGCUGAGAAAGAGAUAAACAGCAAACAAGAACCAAUUUUUAUGCAGUAAAAUCGAAAAUUUGUUCAAAUUAAUCUAAAAAAAAAAAGAGGCUAAAAUUACUAACCAGGUAACACCCAAGGAUCGAACUUGGAGAGAUCGACCUCGGGUAUGAUGGCGGCGGGUAAUGGCCACGAAAGAACCUUCCUUUUUAGGUACUGCAACACCAACUCCUCGUCCGUGGGGUGGAAUCGAAACCCUGGGGGGAGCCUCACCACCCCUCCUCCCCCAUGCCGCACCACGCUCUGCUUCUCCAUUAACGGCCCCCCAACACACACAGAAGAAGAAGCUCCUCAAACCCUAGCUGGCCCCUCAAAUCUCUGCGCCGAGGGAGAUGCGGGAGCAGGGUUUACACCGGUUACGGGUCGAAAUGGGUGGGAGUGUGGGACUAAAAGAACCCAUAUGCCAUUUUCCGAGGUGGAGCGAGGAGAGAGAGGCGUAAGAGAGAGAGAAAGGGAAGAGAGAGAGAGAGAGAGAGAAGGGGGGUUAUGAGAGGGAAGGGGAAAAGGUGAGGGGCUUUUUAUAGGAAAAGGUUGCGGGAGCAACGCGACGACCCCUCUCUCUCUCUCUCUCUCUCUCUCUCUUCGUUGUGGCGUGAACAAGACUCAAGCUUUUGCCUUAUACACUCUCUCUCUCUCUCUCUCUCUCUCUCUCUCCUCAUAUGUUUCUCUCUUUGACGCAUUUAAACAAAUGGGUGGUGAUGGGGAUUAGGAAUUCCCUUGUUGGAAGGAACAGCCACAAACUUAAUUUUUUCUUUUUUUUAAAAAAAAGAAAAACAAACGAGUGGGGGGUGAGGGUCAUCACUAAAUAUGGACAUGCUGGAGGGGGUGUAUUGUAAAAAAAAAAGAGCAAUGCUACAUAUACAUCCUAAAGUGGGGUUUAUAUCUUACACCCACUUCAUCCUAUGGUUAUUUUUGGUACAUCUUUUUUGUAAAUUUUACAAAAAAAUAAUUCAGUUUUUAUCAACUCUAAGAUUACGGAUGUAAGAUCUACACCCCUUUUUGGGGUGUACAAGAAGCAUUUUCUAAAAAAAUAUAUAACUUGUUUCAUUCGUAAUAAUACCAUCUUUGUAAAAAUAUUUAUACAGUUCUUGUAAAUAUAAAUUUAUAAAAAUAAAUAAUUUGGCUAAAUUUUGAAAUUAGAGUAACCCUGACCUACUCAAAUCAAAUAUAUUAAAAGAUUAGAUUGUAAAAAUUAGAAUUUUAUAAGAUUAAAUAGUCAAUUCAAAAUAAUUCAUGGUUAAAAUAAAUUUUGUAUGAUUUUAUCUUUUUUUUUAUUUUAAUGGAAAGGAGUUGUAAGGUCAAAAUGCUUAGAUUAGAUAGGGAUCGUAACGAGGACGGCAGAUGUGGACCGUCAGAUCUUAAAACAAGUUACAUGUAACUAAGAUUUUUAGGAUCCAAAACGUGUUCUUUUAUGAACAUUUGCGCUCUCUUCUUCGUACUGGGGAUGUCAAUGAAUACAGAUAUCUGAAAUUUUAUUUGAAUCCAAACUCAAAUGAAGCGGAUUUAUUUGAUACUAAAUGGAUAUUAAUUUUUAGAUAUGGAAUUUUUAUUGUACCCAAAUGAAUCCGAACCCGACCCGAACUUGUAAAUAAUUUAUAUUAUAUAAUAUAUAUNUAUAUAUAUAUAUAUAUAUAUAUAUAUAUAUAUAAAUAUUUGAUGUUAUAUUUGAAUUUAUAUUUUAAAUAUUUAGAUUUAAUGUAAUAUGUUUUGAAAUUGUAAAGAGAAAUAAUUAUUUUGUAUUCGAAUUUUCGGGUUCGGAUUUCGAAUUUUUAGUCGGGCUCGGAUUUGAAUAUGGAUUUUUAAAAUCCGUCUGAUUCAGAUUUGGGUUCGAAUUUUGGGUUUCGGAUUUAGUAGUUAGAUUCGAAUUUUUAAAAAUUUACCCCGAAUCCGACGCAUUAACAUCCCCACUUUUUAUUGGUACUGUACUCUGAUAUAGUUUUGUUUCGUAAAAAGAUCAUUUGCAUGUUGUUGAUAUAUUAGUAAAUUUAUGCAUUAGUUUAGACUCAGUGCAUGAAUUUUUUAUAAUUUUACAUAUUAUGGGCGCUAAUUUAUUAACAACUUAGAAGGUUAAUAUGCGCAAUAAUCCGUAUACUUGAUGAUAUUGUAACUUGAUUAUUUUAAAUUUUUUUUACUUUUAUAUUUUAAUUAUUGAAUUUUUAGGUACUGUGAUAUUAGCAGUUUUGAAAUUUAUAUUGACAGAUAUAUUCACUGAAUUUAGUCAUUAAUAGAUUCAUUAAAUAUCAUAUGCACAUCGCAAAUUUAAUAUUUUAUUAUACUAUAUUAUAUAUUAUAAUUUUUGACUUUUUAGAAAAUUUUACUUUUAAUUUGAAAUAUUUUGCUAUCUUGUUUAACAAAUGUGUCAUUUUAAUAGUACACAGUACGAUCAUUACGAAGAAAAUUUAACUUUUUAAUUUUUUUUUGGUACUUGAAAAUCAAGAAUUCGAACAGUAGUCAUUAAUAUAUGAAAAUUUAAAAAUUAUUCUAUAAAGUACAAAAAAAAAAGAAAAAGAAGAAGGGUUGAGGUACAAUAUUGGGAUAGGUCAAGGACUAUUCAUGCAUUUUAAAUCGUAAAAUAUCAAUGUAAAAAGAGGGGAGGGGGAAACGUGGUUUAUAUACGGGGGAAUCGUUUCCCUUGGGGAUUACUUUUCUUAGGACAAAAAUACCCUUCAACUUCGGUGGUAUUUACGAGAAUGUAUACGGAGGGGACAUGGGCUCGGAGGGGUAGGUCGGGUCAUUGGGCGGGACGAUGGCGUCAUGCUUACAGCUGGUGAGCAUCAACGCCUCCGUAGGAGCAGUGAAAUGACGGGUUUGCCCUUACGGCUUUACCGAUAUUACGUGCAUGCCCUUAUUCAGGUACCAUUGUACCAUUGCCCUUUCCAUUGUGUUAUCAUUUAUUAAAAGAAAGGGACGGAUCGGGUAAAAUUUAAAAAUAAAUUUAAGAGUAAAAACUAUAAAAUACUUUUUUAAAAAAUUUGAGGCUCAUAAUUAUUGUAUUAGAUUUUUUAGGAAAAACUUCAGAUACCACCCUGCCAUUUCGCACUUUCUUACUGUAGUAUCCUGUGGUUUAAAGUGUUUCAAGUUAGUAUCCUGUAGUUUUGCAUUUUCUCACUUUAGUACCUUAUGGUUUAAAGUGUAUUAAGCUAGUGCUCUGUGAUUUUAUUUUUAUUUUUUGUAUCAAGUUAGUAUCCUGUGGUUUCAUUUUUAUCUUUUUAUUAUUCAUUUCAGAGUUUUUUUUUCGUUAAAUCAGUGACAAAGUUAAAACUAAAGGGCACUAAAAUGAAUAUUCGAUAAACCUAGAUAGAAUAUAUGAAGUUUUUUAUAUAUAAUUUAUCGAAAUAUUAAACCACAUGAUACUAAAGUGAGAAAGUGCGAAAUUACAAAGUACUAACUUGAUACACUUAAACCGCAUGAUAUUAAAGUGAGAAAGUGCGAAACCACAUAGUACUAAUUUGAUACAUUUUAAACUAUAGGAUAUUAAAGUGAGAAAGUGCGAAACCACGGGUAGUAUUUUAAGUUUUACUAAUUUUUUAAAAUAUAACUUUUUUUGAUAAAAUUUUGCAUUGUCCAACAAUAAAGGCUUAAUUCAGAAAUGUAUUCUUCAAAACGUGCGUGUUGCAUUGUCUCCUUUUUAAAAAAAAAAUCAAAUUGACGAUUUAGUAUAUUUUAAAUAAUUAAAAUUAAAAUAUAUAAUUUUUUUAAAUUAUAUUAAAAUUUAUAAAACAAAUGCAAAAUAAAUGGUUAAAAUCAAAAAGCCAGAGCUAUUGAUUGCUCUUGAUCUAAAUAGUGAGCUUAUACACAGUUAAACUAAGAAGCACAAUAUUGUUUAUUGUUAAAAUUAUCAAUUUUGAAGCUUUUUUAUUGCACCGUAUAUGCGGUCAAAAAUUACAAAAUUUAAUUUUUAAAAUAUUUAAAUGCUCUCAAGUAGGGUAAAUUUAUGUUUAAUAAAAAAAAUUAAAUAUUUUAAAUUUUGUUCAAAACAUUGUAUGCCGUCGAUUCGAAAGCUUUAUAAUUAAAAAAGACUGAUAAAUAUAAAGACGAUCGUAUUGAUAAUAUAAACUAAUUAUGAUUUUAUAUAAUCAAUUGGUGUCCGCUGCACGGGAGCGAGGAGCAAAGUUGAGAAUGCAAUUGCAAAUUGUAGAAAAAUUAAAAGACUAAAAUGCUUAAGGCUUCAUUUGGUAUUGAGUUCUAUCUGAUAUUAUUAGAUAAAAUGAAGUUAAGAUAAAAGUAUAUAGAAAUAUACUUCUACGUUCUUCGAUAGGAUCGUAAAAAAUAUAUCAUAACUGACUCAUCGCGAAAUGCGAAACGUAAUAUUAUGUACGUAAAUAAAUAUAAUAUUUUUUUCAUCAUACUUUUUUACUGCACGUAACACAAUCUCUUCGCAAUUUCAAAUGAAAUCUAAGUAAAAGGUUUAAAAAGCUAAUUUGGAUUGCAUAAAAAUUUAUGGAUUUAUUCAUGCACUUCACUAAAACUCAUUUUCGCUUUUUUUUAAAAUUAUUAUUGCAAUGGUCAUUGGAAUUGAAUGGUUACAGGAGAAGUUCGAACAAUAAAUUUUGAUUACAUACAAUUCGGUCGCUUAAAGCAUACACAUACAAUGUUCAAUAACUAUUAUUGUGACUAAGGUCAAUCUGAUUUUUGUCACCUGAUAUCAUUUUGUGAAUCAUUAAUGCUAAUUAUUACUCCAAAUACAUAAGCUAAUAACAUAUACAAGUGUAAUUCUCACAUGUUUUAUAAUCCUAUCCAACAAGUAAUAUGAAAAAAAAUAAUAAUAACAUUUUAUUUUCUCUCCAUAUAUUAUAUUAUAUUAUAUAUGUGUCGCAUGUCAUUUGUGUUUUAUUCCGACACAGUUUGGGAAGAAGAUGCCAAAAUUGCCGCCCCCGAAUUGAUUUCCAAUAGUUUUUUCUUUUUCUUUUUUUCUUGAGCACAAGCCAAGUAGCUACAAUCUAAAAUAAACUUUAAAAUUAGAGCAUUUUUGUUUUUUCAUUCAAUGUUGUAAACAUCAAAAUAAACUUUUGAAUUCCAAAAUUCCAUAUUUUUGAAAUUUAAGGCAAUUAAAAAAAUCUGAAAAAAAAAGUUGUUUUUUUUUUAGAAUACUGAAAAAAAAAAGUUGUUGGAGCUGUUAUGAACGGAUCUAGACUAUAUGCGCGCUUUAUUUUCUCUCCAUAUAUUAUAUUAUAUUAUAUUAUAUGAAUUGAGCUCCUAUGCUUUUAAAAGUAUCAAAUUGUUGAUGCUUGUAGAUUUUUAGCGAUUGGAUUAAGAGAUAUGCGGUUAGGAUGAUGUGGAUUCCCUAGGGUUGAGUGGGUGAUUGGUUGAAUAGUAUAAUCUAAUGGUUAAAAAUGAUCCGAGGAGUAGAUCUAACAGUAAAAACUUACAAGCACUAAGUGCUUGGUGCUUUUACAAACACUAUAGCUGGACUCUAUAUUAUGUAUGUGUCGCAUGUCAUUUGUGUUUUAGGAGGUGUUUGGCCUAAUUUUUAAAAAGCACUUUUGGGUUGAAAAGUAAUUUGGUAAGAAUAUGCCAAAAUUGCCGCCUCUGAAUUGAUUUCCAGUAGUUUCUUUUUUUUUUUUUUUUAAUUUGAACACAAGCCAAGUAGCUACAAUCUAAAAUAAACUUCAAAAUUAGAGCAUUUUUGUUUUUUCAUUCAAUGUUGUAAACAUCAAAAUAAACUUUUGAAUUCCAAAAUUUCAUAUUUUUGAAAUUUAAGGCAAUUAAAAAAAUCUGAAAAAAAAAAAGUUGUUGGAGCUGUUAUGAAUGGAUCUAGACUUUAUGCGCGCUUUAAAUAUAUUUUGAUCCGUGACGACAAAAUAGAGCGACACGCAUUUGUGCGCGUGUGCGAGUGCGCACGUGUCUGAGAGAGCUCUAAAAUCCAACUUUAGCACUUUUUUUCUUUUUUCGCCUACUGGCUGAAUUUUAGCAGCAUUUCAACUUAUAGAAUGUUUAAUACAAUUUAAAUUUGAGUGCGUCCAGUAUGCUUCGGUAGUACAGAGCGCUCCGUGCUUUCAAGUUAUUUUUAAUAUUUAGACUUUCGAAUCGACGAUCGGCUCUGUUAGACUUGAUCUAGAGUAUUUAAAAUAUCUAGAAAAUAAAUUUUACGAUUUUUUGAUAUCAUUUGCUUAGUGAUCGAAGUGGCUCAAAAUCAACGGCUGAAAAUAAAAAUCUUAUAAAAUAUGUUGAUAUGACAUUAAAAUUUUAGAUCAAAGUUAUUGAUCUUAUUUUAUAUGAUAUAAAAAAUUUUCUAUCAAAAUUUCAUAUGAUUUGGAUAUUUCUACACCGUUAAACUUGCAAACGGCUCACCACGGCCAUUAAAAUUAUUGAUUUUGAGCCCCUUCGAUCACUAGGCAAAUAAUAUCGAAAAAUCACAAAAUUUAUUUUCUAGGUACUUCAAAUACUCUAGAUCAACUCUAACGGAGCCGAUCAUCGAUUCGAAAGUCCGAAUAUCGAAAAUAAUUUAGAAGUAUGGAGGGCUCCGUACUUCCAUAAGCAUAUCAGCCCAUUCUUUAAAUUUUGCCCCUUAUGAUCUGCUGACACCUCACAUCACCUUUUGGUUUCGGAGAGCUCAUUAAAUCUUAAUAUUUUAGAGGUUUAAUUCAUAUUUUUCUAUUAAGUAAUUACGAAAAGAGUAAUCUUUUGAGUAAACAAAAAAAAAAUUCUUCAAAAUUGUUAAUUUUUUUUUUUUUCUAUAUGGCACUUAAAUUUGAUAUCAUCAAAUUUUAAAAUUCAAUUGCUACUCAACUCUAUAAGAAGGAUUUUUUGAGUUAGCCAAAAAAAAAAAAAAAAAAGCUCUUAAUUCAAAAUACAUUAAAAAACCAUUUUUUUCAUUAAAAAGAAAGGGAGUAUUGGAUUUUUUUUUUUUUUUUGAUGAACCGCAACGGAGCCCCCAAGGGCAAAAAUGUAAAAUCAAAAUGAUGUCCCAUGAAUAACGUGAUGAGCUUUUUUGGCCACUGACGUUUAAAAAAGAAAAAAAAAACUUUUGGUUUCCGUAGGGGGCAGGGAAACCCUUUUUUAAUUUUUUUUUUUUUUUUUUACAAAGUAAAAGAUGAAAUAAUAAAUUAGGAAAAAUCUACGGGGCAAAAAGCAAAAGAGAUCUCUUACACAAGUUACUCAAUUUUGCUUUCCCAUGCAAGUUACGUAUGAAGAGAUAUUUAAUAUUUUUUCAGUUGCGGCUGAAUUUUUUAGAAUUUUUUUCUAAUUAUUUUCUAAUGUAAAACAUAAGAUAAUUAGAAGUUAGGGAUGUUAAUACUUAUGGAUAUUCGAAAUUUUAUCCGAAUCCGAAUCGAAACGGAAUGGAUUUAUUCGAUGCUAAUUAAACAAAUAUAGUUUCAGAUAUAGAUAUCAAAAAUAAAAAUCCGAUGAAAAUAAAUUCGAAUAUGAAUUUUGACUGUACCUAACCCGAUCCGAACCUAACCCAAAUUCGACCCGAACCCGAAUUUAUUUUACAUUAUAUAUAAUAUGUAUAUAAAAAUUUGAUGUUAUAUUUGAAUUUAUAUUUUAAAAUUUUAGAUUUAAUAUAAUAUAUUUUGAAAUAUUGAAAAGAAAAAUAAUUAUUUUGAGUUUCAAAUUUUUGGUCGGGUUCAGGUUUGGAUAGGAAUUUUUAAAAUCCGAUAGAUUCGGAUUUGGAUUCGGAUUUUGGAUUUGAAUUCAGGUUCAGGUUCGGGUUUGAAUCCGACCCGUUUGACAUUUCUAUUAGAAGCUUCUAAUUAUAGCUUUAUUUUAAAGUUUUAGAAACCAAAUUUAACUCUAAAACUCGGUUACUUUUUCUCUUCCCUUUUUAUUCAUUCUUUAUUUUUUAUAAACACAAAUUUCAUGCUCUGAUGAAGUAAAGUGGCCAAAUUUCAUUAUUUACAAAUUUUAUUACGCAUUUUUUUAUUUAUUAAUAAGAAGAGGUCAAUACUUUUGUGUAAUUAUUAUAUAAAAUAUACAAUUAAAAAUUAGAAAAUAAUAAUGAUGAUAACAAUGUCAAAUAAGACUUAGUUUUUUUUUUUUUUUUCCUUUGUUAAUGAAAUAAUUGUUCUACUUCUCACUCUAAAACACUCUCUCUCUCUCUCUCUCUCUUUUUUGAGAGAUAGGUAGCAACUCUCUCUCUCUUUUAAACCUUAUAAAACAAGGUGAUUUUUAUGUGGUUAUUUAUGUUAUCUAAUUUCUCCCUUUUUUUUUUAUUUUUUCUGGUCAAAGAGGUUUGCGUGUGGGAGUUGAGGAAGGUUUUGUACUUUGUAGGAGAGUGAGAGAAAGAGAGGAGAGAGAGAUAGAGAGAGAGAGAGAGAGAGAGAGAGGAUAUGUCGAAAGGUACAAUAAUUGUGCUUUUGAUGAGUAGGUCUCUUUUAUUUUUGGUAAAAAUGUAUGGAGAUCCUCUCACCUAUAAGUAGCUAUGAAAGAGACCUCCCAAAAUAAAAUUUUCUUUCAUAAACAAAAAUAAAAAAUAAUACUUUAAAUAUCACUAAUGUAGUUCAUACUUUUUUUACUUUAGUAUUCUAUAAUUUAAAGUGUACCAUAUUGAAGCAUCAAAUCAAACCACAUUGAGCCAGUUCAACCAACUUAUUAAAUCAAAAUCAAUUCGGAAUCAAGAGGACAACCGAACCACACCAAAUGAUCCAACUGCACCAAUCACAACUUGAUAGUUUUCGAAUUUAUAAAUUUGUAUUCUUGAGAGUGUAUGGUUGUAACCUCCUCCGCAAUAUAGGAGUAACCUCCUCCACAAUAAGUGUGAGAAGUUCUCCUUUAUGUGUAUAAGUUUCUCAAUCGGACAUUAAUGAAGUGUGUAAGCUUCCAAUUUUUUUAUGGUAUCAGAGCCACGCUAAGGCACCAAAGAUCUUAAAAAAAAAAAUUGGCAUCCUUAGCUAACCCGAAAUUUUCCUUUCCCUCCACCAUUAAUGUGGCAAAUUUCGUCACAUUGAAGCUCAAUGACAACAACUAUCUGCUCUGGGAAACACAAGUAGUGUCACUGAUCGAAAGUCAGGACUUACUUGGUUUCCUCAUGGGGGAGACUAUCGCACCACCUAAGAUGUCGACUUCAGAAAGUGGAGCCACCGUCAACAACCCAGACUACACAUCUUGGGUACGGACCGAUCGCCUUGUGAAAUCAUGGAUCGUGGGCACUCUCUCCGAAGAGGUUCUCGGCCAUGCCGUCGGUCUUCAAACUGCAGCUGAAGUGUGGACAGCAUUAACCAACCACUUCAAGCAGAGCUCGAUCGCCCGUGAAUUCGACCUACUCGCACAGCUGCAACACAUCAGGAAAUGAAAUAAUCCUUUACCUACUUACCUUCGUAAUUUUAAAUCAAUUUGUGAUCAACUGCAUGCUAUUGGCAAACCUGUUUCGGAUUCUACCAAAGUUUUCAGGUUAUUAGAAGGGCUCGAUGAAAGCUAUGAGCCAUUCAAGACGACUAUGUUCCGACCUCCUAUUCCGCUAUAUACAGAGGUGGUUCCCCAACUCCAAAGCUAUGAAUUACGAAUCAAGCGACACUCAAGCCCAGCUCCUGAUGUGUCUAUGGCUUUUGUGUCACAACGGGGACGCGGAAGCAACCGGCACAGAGGCCGAGGUAGAGGCCAUAACUUCAACUCUCGAGGCCGGGGUUUUCCUCAGACGACCCAAGGUGGCAGAUCAGAGGGCUAUCAAUCUACUCCGCCGCCUGGGGCUGAUCGUGCAGCCUUGACUUCCUCUACUGGCAACAAUCCUCUCACUUGUCAAAUUUGUAAAAAGCGAGGCCAUGAUGCUCUGCGAUGCUGGUUUCGAUUCGAUAACAGCUAUCAAAGUGACGACAUUCCCCGUGGUCUAGCUGCUCUCUAUAUCACUGAUGUGCAUGAUGAUGAAUGGCAUCCCGACACUGGUGCCAAUGCUCAUAUCACAGAUAAGCCAGGUAACCUUACUAACUUGGUUCCUUAUUCUGGAUCUGAUAGUGUGAUGGUAGGAGAUGGAACUUCCCUACCGAUUACUCAUGUGGGUACGGGCUCUUUUGGUAAUGGUAUUCAUCGCUUUUCGCUUUCUAAUGUCCUGGUUGUCCCGCAAAUGAAGAAAAAUCUUCUCUCUGUUUCCAAAUUGACCACAGAUCAUCCCUGUUAUUUUAAAUUUGAUGCAUCUGGUUUUUCUAUUAAGGAUUCCAAGACACACCAAGUACUAAUGACGGGAAAUAAUCAUCAAGGGUUGUACACCAAUAAAGAUCCGCAGCUUGCAGCUUUCUUCUCUCAGCGAAAUAAGGCGACCGAUGAACUCACUUGGCAUCGUCGAUUGGGCCAUCCGAAUAGCCAAAUCUUGCAGCAUUUGCGGAGUAAUAAUUUAAUUUCAGUAGCUAAGUCUUCUGGCACUUUGUGUACAAGCUGUCAGAUCAGCAAAAGUUCAAAAUUACCAUUCUAUAUAUCUAAUUCUCGAUGUUCUUUUCCUUUGAAUAAAUUACAUUGUGAUAUUUGGGGACCAGCGCCGGUAUCUUCAAUGCAACAGUUUCGAUAUUACGUAGUAUUUAUUGAUGAUUUUUCUCGUUACUGUUGGUUAUAUCCAUUGAAGCGCAAAUCAGAUUUUUUGGAUAUUUUUCUCACCUUUCAAAAAUUGGUUGAAAAUCAAUUUGAAAGAAAAAUUAAAAUUUUUCAAUCGGAUGGCGGGGGUGAAUUCAUUAGUAAUGCCUUUCUUUCUCAUCUUCGCAAUUGCGGCAUCCAACACCAACUUUCAUGUCCGAGCACACCAGAACAGAAUGGUGUUGCAGAAAGGAAGCAUCGCCACAUUGUGGAACUUGGACUCGCUGCACUAUUUGAGGCCUCAAUGCCCUACUGCUACUGGGUGGAGGCAUUCACCACUAUUAAUUAUUUGAUCAAUCGGCUUCCGUCUGCAGCACUAGGCAAGAAAAGUCCAUAUUCAGUUCUUUUCAAAAAGGAUCCCGACUAUUCACAUCUUCGUACUUUUGGAUCUUGUUGCUUUCCAUAUCUUCGCAGUUAUAUGGUGAAUAAAUUCGACAAACGAUCAUUGCCUUGUGUCUUUUUAGGCUACAGUGAGAAACACAAGGGUUAUCGCUGUCUUCAUCGAUCUACCGGUCGUAUCUAUAUUUCUCGACAUGUUAUUUUUGAUGAACAUUACUUUCCAUUUGCUACUUCCUCUCAGAUCGCUGCUACUUCUAUCGGGGAUCUCUUGCAUUGGGGCUCCACUCUCGGCUCUACUGACUCUACUCAAUCUAGCCGAACUUCUCUAUUUGAUUCAACUGACUCAAGAGAAGUUGCUCGAUUAUUCUCCGAUGAGGUUGCAACUACUACUUCAACAAACUUGCAACCUACUGAUCCUCCCAGCUCUUCGUCUAUGCCUCCAGUCGAUGCCGCACCACCUGCGACAGAAGUGGCCACUCCCUCUAUGCAUCCUAUGGUGACCCGCUCCAAGAUCGGAAUUUUCAAGCCUAACCCACGGUAUGCUAAUCUUGCCCUAUCAUCAAUUCCUCUCGAACCGCACACUGUCCAAUCGGCUCUUAAGCACUCUGGGUGGACAGCAGUGAUGCGUGAGGAAUUGGACGCUCUUGCAACAAAUAGAACAUGGCAGCUUGUUCCACGGUGUCCCUCGAUGAAUGUCAUCGGAUGUAAAUGGGUCUUCAAGACAAAACUCCAUGCGGAUGGGUCACUAGAUCGACUUAAAGCCCGCCUUGUGGCCAAGGGCUUCCAUCAGGAGGAGGGGGUCGACUUUCUUGAGACAUUCAGUCCGGUCGUAAAGCCGGGUACUAUUCGUAUCGUACUCACUAUAGCUACUGUUCGACAUUGGCCGAUUCGUCAAUUGGACGUUAAAAACGCUUUCUUACAUGGCGACCUCGUAGUACCGGUUUAUAUGGAGCAACCACCUGGUUUUCGUGACCCGACUUAUCCCGAUCAUGUGUGUUUACUUCGGCGCGCACUGUAUGGGCUCAAGCAAGCUCCUCGGGCAUGGUUCGACAAAUUCAGUGACUUUCUGAUUGGUUAUGGGUUCGUUUGUAGUAUCUUCGAUCCAUCAUUAUUUAUCUAUCGUCAUGACAAUCAUACUAUUAUUCUACUUCUCUAUGUGGAUGAUAUUGUUCUCACAGGUGACUCGCACCAACUUUUAGAUCGACUUAUUUUUGCUCUUGGUCAGGUUUUUCCUAUGAAAGAUUUGGGUCCUCUACAUUUCUUCUUGGGGAUUGAAGUACACCGCUCUUCAAAUGGUUUAUUUCUCUCACAACAAAAAUACGCUUCUGAUAUCUUAACUCGGGCUUCUAUGGAGCAAUGCAAGCCCAUUGCCACCCCUAUGACCUCUAAACCACCUCCACUUAAGGAAGGAGACAAACUAUAUAGUGACCCCUCGCACUAUCGAAGCGUUGUCGGUGCUCUUCAAUAUCUCACCAUUACUCGCCCGGAUCUCUCACUCGCGGUCAAUGUCGCCUGUCAGCAUAUGCAUGCUCCUACUAAUGCCAAUUACCAAUUAGUAAAGCGUAUACUCCGAUAUUUACGGGGAAGUCUACAUCUAGGGCUUCGCAUCCUAGCUCGUAGCUUGCUGGACUUAUUCGCCUUUGCUGAUGCGGACUGGGCAGGAUGCAAACUUACGCGUCGAUCUACUACAGGUUAUUGUUCUUUUCUUGAUUCUAAUUGUAUUUCUUGGUGCGCAAAGAAGCAGCCUACUGUGUCUCGAUCCACGGCCGAGGCCGAAUACCGGGCCCUCGCCUCAGCAGCUGCUGAACUCACGUGGAUCUCGCAUAUUUUACGUGAUAUUGGCAUUUCUCAACCUCGGCCUUCCCUACUUUUUUCCGACAACAUAUCUGCUUUGCAUCUCACAACUAAUCCAGUCUUUCAUGCUCGAACCAAGCAUAUUGAGAUCGACUAUCACUUUGUGCGGGAAAAGGUUGCCCUCGGUUCUAUUAUCACUCGUUACGUUCCAUCCUCUUUACAACUUGCUGAUAUUUUUACCAAACCAUUGACUCGGGACAGCUUUGUUGGUCUUAGAUCCAAACUCGGUCUCUGGUUAUCACCAAUGCCCAGUUUGCGAGGGAGUAUUGAAGCAUCAAAUCAAACCACAUUGAGCCAGUUCAACCAACUUACUAAAUCAAAAUCAAUUCGGAAUCAAGAGGACAACCGAACCACACCAAAUGAUCCAACUGCACCAAUCACAACUUGAUAGUUUUCGAAUUUAUAAAUUUGUAUUCUUGAGAGUGUAUGGUUGUAACCUCCUCCACAAUAUAGGAGUAACCUCCUCCACAAUAAGUGUGAGAAGUUCUCCUUUAUGUGUAUAAGUUUCUCAAUCGGACAUUAAUGAAGUGUGUAAGCUUCCAAUUUCUUUAUACCAAUUUAGUAUCCUGUAGUUUCGCACUUUUUUACUUUACUUUCUUAUGAUUUAAAGUGCAUCAAUUUAGUACCAUGUGGUUUCAAUUUUUCUCUUUCGUUGGUUUGUCUGUUAAUAUUUUGUUAAAUUAUAUACAAAAAAUUCAGAUACACUAUCUAGGUUUAUCAAAUAGUUACUUUAGUACCCUAUAGUUUUAACUUUGUUACUAUUUUUUUUCCCUCCGUUAAUAUUUCGUUAAAUUACAUACAAAAAACUUCAGAUACUCUACCUAUAUUUAUUGAAUAUUCACUUUCAUAUUCUUUAGUAUUAACUUUGUCACUAAUUUAACAAAAAAAAUUAGUGAAAUGGAUAAUAAAAAAAGUAAAAUGAAACCACAUGAUACUAAUUUGAUACACUUUAAAUCACAGAGUACAAAAGUGAGAACGUGCGAAACCACAGGGCUAACUUUAUACACUUUAAAUCACAGAGUACUAAAGUGAGGAAGUGUGAAAUUAUAAGGGGUUAUUUGAUUGAAUUUUAUCCUAAUAAAAAACUUAUUUGUUCCUGCAUUAUUUACUAUAUUUUUUUAACUUUACCGCUUCAUCUUAUAAAAUAUUCAAAAUGAUAAGAUAAUAACUCACAGUAGUAUAGUUUGUAAAAAUAUAUAUCUAUUGACUAGUUUAUCUAAUUACAAUUUCUCACGGAAAACAAACCAUAGGUUAAAUUGAACUUUACUUUUUCUUUUAUUGCGAUCACUCAAAUUGAUUGCAAAGAAAUUACGAGUUAAAGGCCGUGAAUUUAAGGGGUGUGAAUCAAAACAAAAAUUAAAAUUUAUGGGUCAAUUUCAGAGUCGUCUAUAGUGGAAAGCUCUCUACAAACUUUUACUUUUCUUUGCUUCAUCUUAUACAAUACACAUAUACAAUUCCCUUGCUUGUUUUGUUUGGUGUUUCUUUCUUUUAUAUAUAUAUAUAUAUAUAUAUAUAUAUAGUCGGCUGGUAUGCUUAUGAAAGCACGGAGCCCUCCGUACUUUCAAGUUGUUUUCGAUGUUCGGACUUUCGAAUUGACGAUCGGCUCUGUUAGAGUUGAUCUAAAGUAUUUGAAGUACCUAGAAAAUAAAUUUUAUGAUUUUUCGAUAUCAUUUGCCUAGUCAUCGAAGGGACUCAAAAUCAAUAAUUUUAAUGACCGUGGUGAGCCGGUUGUAAGUUUAACGGUGUACAAAUAUCCAAAUCACAUAAAAUUUUGAUACAAAAUUCUUUAUACCAUAUAAAAUAAGAUCAAUAACUUUGAUAUAAAAUUUUAAUGUCAUAUCAUCAUAUUUUGUAAGAUUUUUAUUUUCAGUCGUUGAUUUUGAGCCACUUCGAUCACUAGGCAAAUGAUAUCGAAAAAUCGCAAAAUUUAUUUUCUAGAUACUUCAAAUAGCUCUUUAAUCAAGUCAAAUGAGCUUCUGGGGAUUUGUUCUCUCGUAUUCGAAGUCAUCAAACAAUCGAAAACAAAGUGGGCACGGAGCCUCUUGUGCUUCCGAUACGAAUCCUAGGUCGCGAGCACUCUCUCCUCUCUCUCUCUCUCUCUCUCUCUCUCUCUCUCUCUCUCUUCUAUUAUAUAUAUAUACGUAUAUAAUAGAGUUGGACGGCUACUAUGUAGUUGCAAAUCAUUGUUCCUACAAUUGUUUAGCCUUUGAAUCAACACUUUCAUUUAUUUCUCAAACCAUUGGGAUUACUACUAUAAAACCCGAGUAGCGCACCACUCAACCUGGGGGGACCACCUAACUCUAACGAAUAUCAUCCCUGACUCUACAAUUAUUAUUCAAGUUAAAAACUUGAUAGCAACAAAAACGUUUUUACUUAUUAAUAGUAUUCCGCAUUCUAUAAUAUUAUAUAUUAGUAUAUAUACUAUAUAUAUAUAUAUAUAUACCAUGAUACUAUCAUUAGUUAUAUUAUAUAAAACUAGCUACAUACUUAUCGAUAGCCGGGAGCGGCUCCGCUGCUACCAAGUUGUUCGAUGGAAUGCGGUUCACAAAUCGGUGACGAUCAAGCUCGUGACGGUUGACUCUACACUAUUGAAAGUAUUUAGAAACUAAAUUUCAUAAUUUUUCGAUAUCAUUUACCUAUCAAACAAGUAGUCUAAAAUUGAACGGCUGAAAAUAAAAAUCUCAUAAAAAAUGAUGAUAAAAGAUUUAAAUUCAAGAUCAGAUAUACUGAUCUUACUCUAAAUAGUAAAAAAAAUUUUCUAUAAAAUUUUCAUCGCAUUUGGAUUGUUUUACACCGUUAAACUCACAAACACACCACAUCGGCCAUGAAAAUUAUUAAUUUUAAGAUCUUUUGAUCACUAGUCAAAUGAUGUCGAAAAAAUCUGAAAUUUAGUUUCCAAAUACUUUCAAUAGUGUAGAUCAAGUCUAACGGAGCCGAUCGUCGAUUUGGAAGCCGCAUCAUCGAAAACAACUUGGUAGCACGGAGCGCUCCGUGCUACCGAUAGCAUAGUAGUCGGACUCUAUAUAUAUAUA